AUGUUGCGAAAGAUUGGCAUACUAUGGAAUGAGUACAAACUUGGUGAACUAUCUUGGAGAGUGUUUCAAUCAGGGAAUGCGGCCGCUGCUAAAAGUGUCACAACUUGGUCAGGCACAUGCUACAUCACGCCAUAUCUUGGAGCCUUUUUAGCUGAUUCAUACUUAGGACGAUAUUGGACAAUUGCUAAGUUGGAGUUUUGUCUGCAUCUUGGAAAUGCUCUAUGA